rnacentral:rRNA from 1 species
UACGUAGGGUGCAAGCGUUGUCCGGAAUCAUUGGGCGUAAAGAGCGUGUAGGCGGCCCGGUAAGUCCGCUGUGAAAGUCGGGGGCUCAACCCUCGAAUGCCGGUGGAUACUGUCGGGCUAGAGUGCGGAAGAGGCGAGUGGAAUUCCUGGUGUAGCGGUGAAAUGCGCAGAUAUCAGGAAGAACACCCGUGGCGAAGGCGGCUCUCUGGGACGGUACUGACGCUGAGACGCGAAAGCGUGGGGAGCGAACAGG